rnacentral:rRNA from 1 species
GACAGAGGUGCCAAGCGUUAGGCGGAAUCACUGGGCUUAAAGCGUGUGUAGGUGGAUGCCUAAGUGCCUUGUGAAAUCCCACGGCUCAACCGUGGAAUUGCUGGGCAUACUGGGUGUCUUGAGCCAUCCAGGGGUCGCUGGAACAAACGGUGGAGCGGUGAAAUGCGUAGAUAUCGUUUGGAACGCCAAUGGUGAAAACAGGCGACUGGGGAUGAGCUGACACUGAGACACGAAAGCUAGGGGAGCAAACAGG